GGGGAUGUAGCUCAGCGUGCAGUGCCUGCCUGGCAAGCAUGAGGCCCUGAGUUCAAUUCCUGGUACCCCCC
rnacentral:tRNA from 1 species